AUAGCCCUGCUGUGUACGUGAUAUUGCCCUUCACGUUUUGAGCCAACACUCACUUUAUAAGGGUCCUUAAUCUCAAAGGAAAUAACGCGAUAGGCCUGAGCCAAGGCGGCGUUUCUCGGGUCAGGGACCCACCUGCGUAAGCAGGUCCAAAACCCGGCUAGCACACGGCACGUGCGGGCGUCGA
rnacentral:other from 1 species